UACGUAGGGUGCAAGCGUUGUCCGGAAUUAUUGGGCGUAAAGAGCUCGUAGGCGGUCUGUCGCGUCUGCUGUGAAAACUCAGGGCUUAACCCUGAGCUUGCAGUGGGUACGGGCAGACUAGAGUGCGGUAGGGGAGACUGGAAUUCCUGGUGUAGCGGUGAAAUGCGCAGAUAUCAGGAGGAACACCGGUGGCGAAGGCGGGUCUCUGGGCCGUAACUGACGCUGAGACACGAAAGCGUGGGUAGCAAACAGG
rnacentral:rRNA from 1 species